GUUCCCUCUCUCUAAUCCUUGCUACCUGGGUGAGAAUGCUUUUGAAAUGCAAUGCACCUGGGCAAGGAUUCUAGAAGGGGGGC
rnacentral:pre_miRNA from 1 species